CAACCCUCAAGCUCUGCUUGGUAUUGGGUGUCACUGCUUAGGUGCACCUUAAAAUCAGUGGCGGUGCCACCUGGCUUCUAGCGUAGUAAUACUUUUCGUUAUGAAGUUUAGGUGUAGUCCAGCCAUCAACCCCUAAUUCUACA
rnacentral:misc_RNA from 1 species